ACACACCAGAAGUUCUAAAUUAAAAGGAAGAUCAAUGAGAACUGUGGUUGUUCCCACGGGUGACUGUCUGGGGCAGUGGGUUACAUGGAGAAGUUCAGGAGUGUCUCACUUUGUUUUCUGUUUGGUAAUAAACACCAAGACUAAAAUCAACUUGAGAAAAAAGUAUUUAUUUCAUCUUACAGUUUACAAUUGGUCAGGAAGGGACAUUAAGGCAGGAAUAGUUCCUGGGGGCAGGAACCAGAGCAGAAACUAUGGAGAAGAGCUGCUUACUGGCUAGCUCCUCGUGCCUGCUUUCUCAUAUAACCCAGGUCCACUUGCCUGGGCAGCACCAUUCACGAUGGUCUGGGCCUUCCCAGACCAUCAGCUAUUAAUCAAUUGCUACAUCAAUUGUUAAUAUAAAAAAAUGUCCCCACAGACUUGCUUACAGGUUAAUUUGAAGGAAGCAUUUUCUCAAUUGAGAUUUCCUCUUCCCAGAUGAUUCUAGUUUGGGUCAAGUUGACAAAAAACUAACCAGCACAGGUCAUGACUUCAAGUUCUUCUGAGCUGCUUUAAGCCUGGAUUUGCUAAGGCCCACCUGCCCUGUGUUCUGUGUUUGUGGAUAUCUGUCCAAAGGCUGGAGAGAGCACUGCGGAGACAUUGGUAAAAAAAAAAAUAAAAGAAUGUUGCUGUCUCAAGCAGGUGGCGUGCCCUAGUGCCUUUGCUUAGUAGACCAUGUGCCCUCGUCUUUCUUCAGUCCGCCACAUCCAUCAGACAUCUACCUGAUAUCACCCCAAUGGAGAGCUAUCCUAGGUCACUCUAGCCAUUUAACAUCACUUUUGUCAAGGACAAUUUGCUCUCUUUUGCCCAGUUCUUUCUCUCCAAUGCUGAGAAGCUCACCGAUGUAUAUCAAUGAAUGAAGGAAUGAACUUACUGUUUUGUUGUUGCUUUUCUUCAUGUAUUUAAGCCUCCUUAAAGAUCUGAGUUGAAAGCAAGUGAUCUAGUAAGACAUAGCCAACAUGACCACUACCUACUGUGUUCAUCAACUUAGCCAACUCUUUCACCACCAUGGCACUAGCCUAUACCUUCUCCAUGAUGUAAGUACUGGGAGCAUCUUCUCCAUACAUGAGUAGUAGGCUGCCUCUCCUCCAUGAUAACUACUGGGAUGCACUUUUCAUGAGCCAGCAAGCUAAUAGAGCCAGCACAGAUUUUAGAAGCACUGCCCACAAAGGGGCUGGUUUUAGAUCAUCCCUUGGAAGCAUAUGGUGAAACCAUCUUACUUCAGGAAAGAUGAAGAGGAGAAGCGGACAUACUGAAUGCUUAGUACUCAGUUAGGACUCUCUUGGCAUCCUAUUAGUACAUUACAUGUGUUUACUCACUUGGUCUUCACCACAGCCUUAUAAAUUAGGUACCGUUCAGUUUAUAGAUAAAGAUAAAAGCCAGAGAUAAGUAUCUUAUCCAAGGUCAAAUAGAUACUAAGUGUCAGAGUCUGGCUCCAAGGUCAUGUAGGAAUCACACUAAGGAAAAAAGAAGGAAGCUGGAACAAGAGAGGUGUUCAGAUGCUGGAAUCUGUAUCAGUUUGGUGGGGGACCCAGCAUGGGCUGUCUUCAGGGCAGGCUACCAAGAAUUCAGAUACAAGAGCAUCACUUUCACCCAGAUAUGAUUAUGCAAUAUUUACAGAAAACUGCUCAUUGAAGGGACCAAUAAAGGUGGAACCUCUUGCCCAAGGGGAUUUUUUUUAUAGCUAAUAACCAUGAGAUGAGUAAGAAAAAAAGAUGAAUGCUCCACAGAGCUAAAACAUUUUUUUGAGGAGGUUGGAAGAAAGAGUCUCUAAAACAAAAUAACGAGAGAGAGAGAGAGAGAGAGAGAGAGAGAGAACAAACAGUAGAUAUGAUUAUGCUAAAUAAUGUACGUGAAAAAUGAAGCUCACUUAGGCCCUUGCAUUAAACUAAAGGGUUUUAUUGUUGUUGCUGAAUGAGGGUUUUACACUCGCAGCUAAGCAUUUUUUUCCACUUGAACUGCCUCAAAAAGAGUGAGUCAGAAAGAAGAGUUGCUGAGAAUGGAAUUCAAUAAUAUUUAGAGAGAAAUGAAAUUAAGUAUUAUUUGAUGCCUCAAUUCCUGGUUGGCCGUGCAUAACUUCCUGGCACAGAGAGCACUUAGCUAUGCUUCAGGAAGCAUGCUCACUGGGUUGUGAAUUGUACACACACUUAUAUAUACUCACAAUGUGAAUAUGGAGGCAGAAGAGAAGAGAAUUAGUCCUCCCCCAGAGAAUCAUGCUGCCCUCUGUCCAGAUCCUGCUUCCUUCUGUCCAGAUACUGCUUCCCUCUGUCCUGAUUCUGCUUCCCUCUGUCCUGACCCUGCUUCCCUCUGUCCUGAUCCUGCUUCCUUCUGUUCUGUUGUUGGUUCCUUCCAUAUUGGUACCAUCUUACUUUAUUGUUUUGUAUCAGCAUAAUGAACAUGGAACACAGAUACAAUAUUUGCGUGAAAGAGGAAUUGAUGCUUAGGUACAAAUGAGAGACAUAAAUCUUUAAACAUACAUUGAGUCCUCACAGUACAUAGCAAAACUGCCCCACCUUUAGAAUGACAAGGCCUUAUCCUCGAUUCCAGUCAACACAUGGAAUUGGAGUGCCCACCAUCAAACCUGAUCGAUAUAGGACCCUUUUCAGGAGCCUUUCCCUGCUCCCUACAGAGGUGAUCUGGACAAAACAAAAAUGACUGGAUGCUAGCUGGUCAAUUGUCAGGAAGAGCUACAUAUCCUACAUGAUUCUCUUGGUUCCACUGUGUAGGCAGGAAAGAGACUCACUGUCUUUCUUCAAUUCUGUGCACAAAACCAGCACAAGACCCUUCCAAGCCAUUGGGGACAGCGGGCCACACACUCUUGACAAGCACUGUCUGUCAUCUUCACGAGUCUUCUUUCAACAGUCCACACCCAGGUAUACUUGAUUUCAGCCUCUCAAGCCAGGAUCUGCAGUCAUGCUGUGUGGAGGGGCUAGGGAACAGGAUUUUGGCUGGGUCU
rnacentral:lncRNA from 1 species